rnacentral:rRNA from 1 species
AACGAACGCUGGCGGCGUGGAUAAGACAUGCAAGUCGAACGAGAGAAUUGCUAGCUUGCUAAUAAUUCUCUAGUGGCGCACGGGUGAGUAACACGUGAGUAACCUGCCCCCGAGAGCGGGAUAGCCCUGGGAAACUGGGAUUAAUACCGCAUAGUAUCGAAAGAUUAAAGCAGCAAUGCGCUUGGGGAUGGGCUCGCGGCCUAUUAGUUAGUUGGUGAGGUAACGGCUCACCAAGGCGAUGACGGGUAGCCGGUCUGAGAGGAUGUCCGGCCACACUGGAACUGAGACACGGUCCAGACACCUACGGGUGGCAGCAGUCGAGAAUCAUUCACAAUGGGGGAAACCCUGAUGGUGUGACGCCGCGUGGGGGAAUGAAGGUCUUCGGAUUGUAAACCCCUGUCAUGUGGGAGCAAAUUAAAAAGAUAGUACCACAAGAGGAAGAGACGGCUAACUCUGUGCCAGCAGCCGCGGUAAUACAGAGGUCUCAAGCGUUGUUCGGAAUCACUGGGCGUAAAGCGUGCGUAGGCUGUUUCGUAAGUCGUGUGUGAAAGGCGCGGGCUCAACCCGCGGACGGCACAUGAUACUGCGAGACUAGAGUAAUGGAGGGGGAACCGGAAUUCUCGGUGUAGCAGUGAAAUGCGUAGAUAUCGAGAGGAACACUCGUGGCGAAGGCGGGUUCCUGGACAUUAACUGACGCUGAGGCACGAAGGCCAGGGGAGCGAAAGGGAUUAGAUACCCCUGUAGUCCUGGCAGUAAACGGUGCACGCUUGGUGUGCGGGGAAUCGACCCCCUGCGUGCCGGAGCUAACGCGUUAAGCGUGCCGCCUGGGGAGUACGGUCGCAAGAUUAAAACUCAAAGAAAUUGACGGGGACCCGCACAAGCGGUGGAGUAUGUGGCUUAAUUCGAUGCAACGCGAAGAACCUUACCUGGGCUUGACAUGUAAUGAACAACAUGUGAAAGCAUGCGACUCUUCGGAGGCGUUACACAGGUGCCGCAUGGCCGUCGUCAGCUCGUGUCGUGAGAUGUUUGGUUAAGUCCAGCAACGAGCGCAACCCCUGUUGCCAGUUACCAGCACGUGAAGGUGGGGACUCUGGCGAGACUGCCCAGAUCAACUGGGAGGAAGGUGGGGACGACGUCAGGUCAGUAUGGCCCUUAUGCCCAGGGCUGCACACGUACUACAAUGCCCAGUACAGAGGGGGCCGAAGCCGCGAGGCGGAGGAAAUCCUGAAAACUGGGCCCAGUUCGGACUGUAGGCUGCAACCCGCCUACACGAAGCCGGAAUCGCUAGUAAUGGCGCAUCAGCUACGGCGCCGUGAAUACGUUCCCGGGUCU